rnacentral:rRNA from 1 species
AGAGUUUGAUCAUGGCUCAGAAUCAACGCUGGCGGCAUGCCUAACACAUGCAAGUCGAGCGAGAAAGUGUAGCAAUACAUGAGUAAAGCGGCGCACGGGUGAGUAACACGUGGAUAACCUGCCUCAAAGUGGGGAAUAACACCGGGAAACCGGUGCUAAUACCGCAUAUUCUGACGAGAUCUGUGGAUUUCGUCAGGAAAGGAGCAAUUCGCUAUGAGAGGGGUCCGCGGCUGAUUAGCUAGUUGGUGAGGUAAUGGCUCACCAAGGCAACGAUCAGUAGCCGGUCUGAGAGGACGGUCGGCCACACUGGAACUGAGACACGGUCCAGACUCCUACGGGAGGCAGCAGUGGGGAAUUUUUCGCAAUGGGGGCAACCCUGACGAAGCAAUGCCGCGUGGAUGAUGAAGUAUCUCGGUACGUAAAAUCCUUUCGACGGGGACGAAACCGCAAGGUUGACGGCACCCGUAGAAGAAGCCCCGGCUAACUCCGUGCCAGCAGCCGCGGUAAUACGGGGGGGGCAAGCGUUGUUCGGAAUUACUGGGCGUAAAGGGUGCGUAGGCGGUUCUCUAAGUCGGAUGUGAAAGCUCUGGGCUCAACCCAGAGACUGCAUCCGAAACUGGAGGACUAGGGUUCUGGAGGGGAAAGCGGAAUUCCUGGUGUAGCGGUGAAAUGCGUAGAUAUCAGGAGGAACACCGGUGGCGAAGGCGGCUUUCUGGACAGAUACCGACGCUGAGGCACGAAAGCUAGGGGAGCAAACAGGAUUAGAUACCCUAGUAGUCC